rnacentral:rRNA from 1 species
GUCGCUCUGCGCAAGGCCGAUUCCUGAGCCAUGUGAUGACCGUGUAAGCAAAAAAUCGCAGGUGCGUGGAUACGAGUAUCGGAAACGUGAAAUUGGCUGUUGACACCCUUCGAGAGCCCCGUAUAAUGCGCCCUCACGACGCGGCGUUACUGCCGCACCGGACUCCGGUCCGGAUUGUUCUUUACCAACCGAGUGGAGAUGUGUGGGGUUUAGGCCCAGGGGUAUUAUUGGUGCUUAGGCACUGGUGAUUACCCUGAGCAGUAUUGUUUAAAAUGGAUUGAACGAGAGAGUUUGAUCCUGGCUCAGAUUGAACGCUGGCGGCAUGCCUAACACAUGCAAGUCGAACGGUAGCAGGCCUUCGGGUGCUGACGAGUGGACGGACGGGUGAGUAAUGCGUAGGAAUCUGUCUUUUAGUGGGGGACAACCCAGGGAAACUUGGGGCUUAAUACCGCAAUGAGCCCUGAGGGGGAAAGCGGGGGAUCUU